rnacentral:rRNA from 2 species
UAGGGAAUCUUCGGCAAUGGACGAAAGUCUGACCGAGCAACGCCGCGUGAGUGAAGAAGGUUUUCGGAUCGUAAAACUCUGUUAUUAGAGAAGAACAAGGACGUUAGUAACUGAACGUCCCCUGACGGUAUCUAACCAGAAAGCCACGGCUAACUACGUGCCAGCAGCCGCGGUAAUACGUAGGUGGCAAGCGUUGUCCGGAUUUAUUGGGCGUAAAGCGAGCGCAGGCGGUUUCUUAAGUCUGAUGUGAAAGCCCCCGGCUCAACCGGGGAGGGUCAUUGGAAACUGGGAGACUUGAGUGCAGAAGAGGAGAGUGGAAUUCCAUGUGUAGCGGUGAAAUGCGUAGAUAUAUGGAGGAACACCAGUGGCGAAGGCGGCUCUCUGGUCUGUAACUGACGCUGAGGCUCGAAAGCGUGGGGAGCAAACAGG